CAGUAGCCACGGUAAUACGGAGGGUGCAAGCGUUAAUCGGAAUUACUGGGCGUAAAGCGUGCGUAGGCGGUUCGUUAAGUCUGUUGUGAAAGCCCCGGGCUCAACCUGGGAAUGGCAAUGGAUACUGGCGAGCUAGAGUGUGUCAGAGGAUGGUGGAAUUCCCGGUGUAGCGGUGAAAUGCGUAGAGAUCGGGAGGAACAUCUGUGGCGAAGGCGACUAUCUGGGCCAACACUGACACUGAGGCACGAAAGCGUGGGGAGCAAACAGGAUUAGAUACCCCAGUAGUCCCUGUCUCUUAUAC
rnacentral:rRNA from 1 species